rnacentral:rRNA from 1 species
UUUGACUGGGGCGGUCUCCUCCUAAAGAGUAACGGAGGAGCACGAAGGUUGGCUAAUCCUGGUCGGACAUCAGGAGGUUAGUGCAAUGGCAUAAGCCAGCUUGACUGCGAGCGUGACGGCGCGAGCAGGUGCGAAAGCAGGUCAUAGUGAUCCGGUGGUUCUGAAUGGAAGGGCCAUCGCUCAACGGAUAAAAGGUACUCCGGGGAUAACAGGCUGAUACCGCCCAAGAGUUCAUAUCGACGGCGGUGUUUGGCACCUCGAUGUCGGCUCAUCACAUCCUGGGGCUGAAGUAGGUCCCAAGGGUAUGGCUGUUCGCCAUUUAAAGUGGUACGCGAGCUGGGUUUAGAACGUCGUGAGACAGUUCGGUCCCUAUCUGCCGUGGGCGCUGGAGAACUGAGGGGGGCUGCUCCUAGUACGAGAGGACCGGAGUGGACGCAUCACUGGUGUUCGGGUUGUCAUGCCAAUGGCACUGCCCGGUAGCUAAAUGCGGAAGAGAUAAGUGCUGAAAGCAUCUAAGCACGAAACUUGCCCCGAGAUGAGUUCUCCCUGACUCCUUGAGAGUCCUGAAGGAACGUUGAAGACGACGACGUUGAUAGGCCGGGUGUGUAAGCGCAGCGAUGCGUUGAGCUAACCGGUA